rnacentral:miRNA from 1 species
AUGGGCAAUGUGUCCUGUUCAGA